rnacentral:ribozyme from 1 species
AAAAGAGAGAGGAUGGAAAGGUGGGAGGGAAGACGCGCGUGCUGAUAAUGGGGUGCUUCGACAUCAUGCACAGCGGCCACUACAACGCAAUCAGGCAGGCAAAGUGCCUCGGUGAUGUGCUCGUGGCUGGCA